rnacentral:rRNA from 1 species
GACGAACGCUGGCGGCGUGCCUAAUACAUGCAAGUAGGACGCAGUUGCGAACGGGUGAUUAACGCGUAGGUAACUACCUAUUAGAGGGGGGUAACUAUUGGAAACGAUAGCUAAUACAGCAUACUAGUAGAUGGACCUGCGUUGUAUUAGCUAGUAGGUAGGGUAAUGGCCUACCUAGGUAACUAUACAUAGCCGACCUGAGAGGGUGAUGGGCCAACAUGGGACUGAGACACGGCCCAGACUCCUUCGGGGGGGAGCAGUAGGGAAUCUAUGGCAAUGGGGGGAAACCUGUCCGAGCAACUCCGCGUGAGUGUAGAAGGUUUUCGGAUCGUAAAGCUCUGUUGUUAAGGAAGCGGUACUUAACCAGAAAGGGACGGCUAACUACGUGCCAGCAGCCGCGGUAAUUCC